rnacentral:lncRNA from 1 species
GGGAACUACUAAAAUCAAAUUCUCUGUUUUUUAGCUUUAGUUUCAUAUGCAAAGCAUAUACUAUAAAUCAUGAAACUGGAUCCAUUAGAGGACAGUACAAGAAUCCAUUAACACCCGUAUUUGGAGGCGGCGCCUAAAGAAAGUUAUCCAUAAUCGAGUUUGUUUUGGCAAUCCAUAUCUGUCCAUCUUCCACAGAAGAGAGUCAGUCACCUUAAAAAAUACGAAGCUGGUCCUUCAAAUACUCUCCAACCAACUUUAACUCGGCAUCCAAUCUUUCCUUCUUAUAGGGACGAUAACGAUGAGUUGGAGACCAAAAUGAACAGCAAAUGUAGAGGCUCAUACAAUCUCAGCGAGGCAUGUUCUUUCUUUUUAUGCUAGUUUUAAUUAAAAUGCAAUUGAGUGGCCAUUUUUAUCCAAUUUUUAGAGUCUAUAAAUACAUAUCUCAGACUAACAAUUGAGAGAGCAUCUUGUGGAUCCAAAAUUCAUAAUUAUUUACAAGAAAAGAAAUCAAUGAAGAAGUUAGGUUUCAAGGUUUCUAAAGAGAAUUGAGGAUUCUCGGUACAAAGGUUGAAAUCUAUUUUGUUCCUUAAUUUUAAUUAUAUAGUUCUAAUUUUCAAUUGAUUA